rnacentral:lncRNA from 13 species
CGCUCCCUGCUUUGAGCCUGUCACAGAUCUUAUUCUUGAUCUAUCACAAAGGGUUAAGGAGAGAACUGGUCUAUCUUUCAGUUGUCCUUAAUCCCAAAGAAUUAUUUUAGUAAGCCUCUAAACUAGGCUUACAGAACAAGCUUCACAGUCUCUAGGGGCAUCUAGCCAAAAGAAGUGAGGAGAUAAGAACAUGAAGUAAGGAACUUGAUCGGUCUGGGCAAUCAGUGGUGGUGACGGGGAGGCACCUUCUUGCUAUAGUAGCCAGAGAACUCAUGGGCAGGUGGCUUUUGCACUGGUAUCCAAGGGAUGGGCAGAAUUCUGGAAGGUAGAAGAUUUUCCUGGUUGGAGGGAGGCACCAGAGUCACGGGAGUGAACAAGAGACAAGGUCCCCACACUCCAGUGGGAGACAGUGAACAAAUAAACACUGCGGAGGCCACAAAAUGCCUGGAAGGAAAUAAGGAUGGGAGCACGAGGGGUGAAGGAUGGCUGCUUUUUGAUGUAGCACCAUCUGGACGCCUCCUUGGAUAAGCUCUUCUCCUGCCACGUGAGACCUGUUCUCCUUUCACCUUCGACCAUAACUGGAAGCUUCCUGAGUCCUCCCCAGAAGCAGAAGCAGAAGCAGAAGCAGAUGCCAGUGCCAUGCUUCCUGUACAGUCUGCUGAACCAUGAGUAAAUUAAAUCUCUUUAUAUAUAUAUAUAUAUAUGUUCUUCACAUGUACCCCCAAACCUAAAACUCAAUAUUUAUAUGUACAUAUAAAGGUACAUGUGAAGAACAUGCAAGAUUGUUGCAUAGGUACAUACAUGGCAUUGUGGUUUGCUGCCUUCCUCCCCAUCACCUAUAUCUGGCAGACCCCAGUGUGUGAUGCUCCCCUCCCUGUGUCCAUGUGUUCUCAUUGUUCAGCACCCGCCGAUGAGUGAGAACAUGUGGUGUUUGAUUUUCUGUUCUUGUGUCAGUUUGCUGAGAAUGAUGGUUUCCAGGUUCAUCCAUGUCCCUACAAAGGACUCGAACUCAUCAUUUUUUAUGG